UACGUAGGGGGCAAGCGUUGUCCGGAUUUAUUGGGCGUAAAGAGCGUGUAGGCGGCCAGGUAGGUCGGUUGUGAAAACUGGAGGCUCAACCUUCAGAGGUCGACCGAAACCAUCUGGCUAGAGUCCGGGAGAGGAGAGUGGAAUUCCUGGUGUAGCGGUGAAAUGCGCAGAUAUCAGGAAGGACACCCGUGGCGAAAGCGGCUCUCUGGAACGGUACUGACGCUGAGACGCGAAAGCGUGGGGAGCGAACAGG
rnacentral:rRNA from 1 species